rnacentral:rRNA from 8 species
UAAAAAAAGGUAAGCUACUAAGAGCGAAUGGUGGAUGCCUUGACUGGUAAAGGCGAUGAAGGACGUACUAGACUGCGAUAAGCUACGGGGAGCUGUCAAGAAGCUUUGAUCCGUAGAUUUCCGAAUGGGGCAACCCAAUGUAUAGAGAUAUACAUUACCUAUAUAGGAGCGAACGAGGGGAAUUGAAACAUCUUAGUACCCUCAGGAAAAGAAAUCAAUAGAGAUUGCGUCAGUAGCGGCGAGCGAAAGCGCAAGAGGGCAAACCCAGUGCUUGCACUGGGGGUUGUAGGACUGCAAUGUGCAAGAGCUGAGUUUAGCAGAACAUUCUGGAAAGUAUAGCCAUAGAGGGUGAUAGUCCCGUAUGCGAAAAACAAAGCUUAGCUAGCAGUAUCCUGAGUAGGGCGGGACACGAGGAAUCCUGUCUGAAUCCGGGUCGACCACGAUCCAACCCUAAAUACUAAUACCAGAUCGAUAGUGCACAAGUACCGUGAGGGAAAGGUGAAAAGAACUGAGGUGAUCAGAGUGAAAUAGAACCUGAAACCAUUUGCUUACAAUCAUUCAGAGCACUAUGUAGCAAUACAGUGUGAUGGACUGCCUUUUGCAUAAUGAGCCUGCGAGUUGUGGUGUCUGGCAAGGUUAAGCAAACGCGAAGCCGUAGCGAAAGCGAGUCUGAAUAGGGCGCUUAGUCAGAUGCUGCAGACCCGAAACGAAGUGAUCUAUCCAUGAGCAAGUUGAAGCUAGUGUAAGAACUAGUGGAGGACUGAACCCAUAGGCGUUGAAAAGCCCCGGGAUGACUUGUGGAUAGGGGUGAAAGGCCAAUCAAACUUCGUGAUAGCUGGUUCUCUCCGAAAUAUAUUUAGGUAUAGCGUUGUGUCGUAAUAUAAGGGGGUAGAGCACUGAAUGGGCUAGGGCAUACACCAAUGUACCAAACCCUAUCAAACUCCGAAUACCUUAUAUGUAAUCACAGCAGUCAGGCGGCGAGUGAUAAAAUCCGUCGUCAAGAGGGAAACAACCCAGACUACCAGCUAAGGUCCCUAAAUCUUACUUAAGUGGAAAACGAUGUGAAGUUACUUAAACAACCAGGAGGUUGGCUUAGAAGCAGCCAUCCUUUAAAGAAAGCGUAAUAGCUCACUGGUCUAGUGAUUUUGCGCGGAAAAUAUAACGGGGCUAAAGUAAGUACCGAAGCUGUAGACUUGCACACAACUUAGAUUAUUUAAGUUUAGAAUAUGAGAAACUAAGUUAUAUGUUUAGUUAUAUUUUUACUGAUUUUUAUAGAGUAAAGAUAGAAAUAAAACUUAGUAAAAUCAGUAAAAAUAUUCUUAGGCUAAAGUUAAGUAGUUUAAGUUGUGUGCAAGUGGUAGGAGAGCGUUCUAUUUGCGUCGAAGGUAUACCGGUAAGGAGUGCUGGAGCGAAUAGAAGUGAGCAUGCAGGCAUGAGUAGCGAUAAUUAAUGUGAGAAUCAUUAACGCCGUAAACCCAAGGUUUCCUACGCGAUGCUCGUCAUCGUAGGGUUAGUCGGGUCCUAAGUCGAGUCCGAAAGGGGUAGACGAUGGCAAAUUGGUUAAUAUUCCAAUACCAACAUUAGUGUGCGAUGGAAGGACGCUUAGGGCUAAGGGGGCUAGCGGAUGGAAGUGCUAGUCUAAGGUUGUAGGAGGUUAUACAGGCAAAUCCGUAUAACAAUACUCCGAGAACUGAAAGGCUUUUUGAAGUCUUCGGAUGGAUAGAAGAACCCCUGAUGCCGUCGAGCCAAGAAAAGUUUCUAAGUUUAGCUAAUGUUGCCCGUACCGUAAACCGACACAGGUGGGUGGGAUGAGUAUUCUAAGGCGCGUGGAAGAACUCUCUUUAAGGAACUCUGCAAAAUAGCACCGUAUCUUCGGUAUAAGGUGUGGUUAGCUUCGUACUAGGAUUUACUCCGAAAGCGAAGAAACUUACAACAAAGAGUCCCUCCCGACUGUUUACCAAAAACACAGCACUCUGCUAACUCGUAAGAGGAUGUAUAGGGUGUGACGCCUGCCCGGUGCUCGAAGGUUAAUUGAUGGGGUUAGCAUUAGCGAAGCUCUUGAUCGAAGCCCGAGUAAACGGCGGCCGUAACUAUAACGGUCCUAAGGUAGCGAAAUUCCUUGUCGGUUAAAUACCGACCUGCAUGAAUGGCGUAACGAGAUGGGAGCUGUCUCAAAGAGGGAUCCAGUGAAAUUGUAGUGGAGGUGAAAAUUCCUCCUACCCGCGGCAAGACGGAAAGACCCCGUGGACCUUUACUACAGCUUGACACUGCUACUUGGAUAAGAAUGUGCAGGAUAGGUGGGAGGCUUUGAGUAUAUGACGCCAGUUGUAUAUGAGCCAUUGUUGAGAUACCACUCUUUCUUAUUUGGGUAGCUAACCAGCUUGAGUUAUCCUCAAGUGGGACAAUGUCUGGUGGGUAGUUUGACUGGGGCGGUCGCCUCCCAAAUAAUAACGGAGGCUUACAAAGGUUGGCUCAGAACGGUUGGAAAUCGUUCGUAGAGUAUAAAGGUAUAAGCCAGCUUAACUGCAAGACAUACAAGUCAAGCAGAGACGAAAGUCGGUCUUAGUGAUCCGGUGGUUCUGUGUGGAAGGGCCAUCGCUCAAAGGAUAAAAGGUACCCCGGGGAUAACAGGCUGAUCUCCCCCAAGAGCUCACAUCGACGGGGAGGUUUGGCACCUCGAUGUCGGCUCAUCGCAUCCUGGGGCUGGAGCAGGUCCCAAGGGUAUGGCUGUUCGCCAUUUAAAGCGGUACGCGAGCUGGGUUCAGAACGUCGUGAGACAGUUCGGUCCCUAUCUGCCGUGGGCGUAAGAAGAUUGAAGAGAUUUGACCCUAGUACGAGAGGACCGGGUUGAACAAACCACUGGUGUAGCUGUUGUUCUGCCAAGAGCAUCGCAGCGUAGCUAAGUUUGGAAAGGAUAAACGCUGAAAGCAUCUAAGCGUGAAGCCAACUCUAAGAUGAAUCUUCUCUAAGCUCUCUAGAAGACUACUAGUUUGAUAGGCUGGGUGUGUAAUGGAUGAAAGUCCUUUAGCUGACCAGUACUAAUAGAGCGUUUGGCUUAUCUUUAAUAAAGCAU